rnacentral:rRNA from 1 species
GGCCCUUCGGGGUACUCGAGCGGCGAACGGGUGAGUAACACGUGAGCAACCUGCCCUAGGCUUUGGGAUAACCCUCGGAAACGGGGGCUAAUACCGGAUAGGACCUUCGGACGCAUGUCUGGGGGUGGAAAGUUUUUCGGCCUGGGAUGGGCUCGCGGCCUAUCAGCUUGUUGGUGGGGUGAUGGCCUACCAAGGCGACGACGGGUAGCCGGCCUGAGAGGGCGACCGGCCACACUGGGACUGAGACACGGCCCAGACUCCUACGGGAGGCAGCAGUGGGGAAUAUUGCACAAUGGGCGGAAGCCUGAUGCAGCGACGCCGCGUGAGGGAUGACGGCCUUCGGGUUGUAAACCUCUUUCAGCAGGGACGAAGCGCAAGUGACGGUACCUGCAGAAGAAGCGCCGGCCAACUACGUGCCAGCAGCCGCGGUAAGACGUAGGGCGCGAGCGUUGUCCGGAUUUAUUGGGCGUAAAGAGCUCGUAGGCGGCUUGUCGCGUCGACCGUGAAAACUUGGGGCUCAA